AGCAGAAGCAACCAGUUUGUGAUACCCUAGUCAUGGAAAUUGGCUGGAAAGCCAGGAAAUCCAACCACAGAGCCAUUCCUUAAGCCUGGAGGACUUUUUUCCUCUCUCCCCUUGCUUUUGCUGCCAACUGCUGCAUCUCAUAUCUGGGAAAGAACAGGUGCAGAGCCAUCUUGGGAUUGCAGUGCAUUGCCAGCAGCUUGCAGGGGUCCUGCGAGGAAUUACAUGUUGCUGCUGAUGGAGGUUUCUUCCUCCUGUUUGCUGGGACAAUCAUGCUGGUGUUUAUGGCCCUCUCAAAAGUAUUCUUUGCCACAGCAAUAUGGGAAGAAAGAUCAUUCAAGCUCUUCUCUGUCCCAAGUGAGGAGAUGAACAACAAAUGGAUUCUAAAGGCAUGAAGUGUUCAGCACUGCUGUGAGUACUGAUCCAGCUGAUAGCUUCUGCUUCUGUGUACAUUAAGAACUGAAAUAUGAU
rnacentral:lncRNA from 1 species